rnacentral:rRNA from 1 species
GAAUUUAAGCAUAUAAUUAAGCGGAGGAAAAGAAACUAACCAGGAUUCCCCCAGUAAGGGCGACUGAAGCGGGAUGAGCUCAAGAUGUGAAUCUGUGCUAUUUUUGAAUGGCACCGAAUUGUGGUCUGAAGACCGUGACAUUAUCCUUCCGGGCCAAGUUCGUUGGAAAACGGCAGCAGAGAGGGUGACACUCCCGUCCGCCUGUUGGAACGAGUCACGUGUCGACGAGUCGAGUUGUUUGGGAUUGCAGCUCUAAGUGGGUGGUAAAUUCCAUCUAAAGCUAAAUAUUGGUGGGAGACCGAUAGCGUACAAGUACCGUGAGGGAAAGAUGCAAAGAACUUUGAAAAGAGAGUUAAAGAGUACCUGAAAUUGCUGAAACGGAAGCGAAGGAAACCAGUGUUUGGCCGUAUCAUACUUCCCUUGCCACUUGUGGUUUGGGCGCUGUGUUGUGGCUGUCUGUCUGCCUUGGUUGUGUCUUUUGGAAGAGCGCCGUCGGAGUUGACGACGGUUGCUAGCAUUGGACUUGACUGAGUGAGACGAAAUGGUUUUCUUUACCCCGUCUUGAAACACGGACCAAGG